GGGUGAGUAAUGCGUGAGCAACCUGCCUUUCAGAGGGGGACAACAGUUGGAAACGACUGCUAAUACCGCAUAAUGUACAUUAGAGGCAUCUUUGAUGUACCAAAGGAGCGAUCCGCUGAAAGAUGGGCUCACGUCUGAUUAGCUUGUUGGCGGGGCAACGGCCCACCAAGGCGACGAUCAGUAGCCGGACUGAGAGGUUGAACGGCCACAUUGGGACUGAGAUACGGCCCAGACUCCUACGGGAGGCAGCAGUGGGGAAUAUUGGGCAAUGGGCGAAAGCCUGACCCAGCAACGCCGCGUGAAGGAAGAAGGUCUUCGGAUUGUAAACUUCUUUUAUGAGGGACGAAGGACGUGACGGUACCUCAUGAAUAAGCCACGGCUAACUACGUGCCAGCAGCCGCGGUAAUACGUAGGUGGCGAGCGUUAUCCGGAUUUACUGGGUGUAAAGGGCGCGUAGGCGGGGAUGCAAGUCAGAUGUGAAAUCUAUGGGCUCAACCCAUAAACUGCAUUUGAAACUGUAUUUCUUGAGUGCUGGAGAGGUAGACGGAAUUCCUUGUGUAGCGGUGAAAUGCGUAGAUAUAAGGAAGAACACCAGUGGCGAAGGCGGUCUACUGGACAGU
rnacentral:rRNA from 1 species